UCAUCUUCGGGGGUAGAGCACUGUUUCGGCUAGGGGGUCAUCCCGACUUACCAACCCGAUGCAAACUACGAAUACCGAAGAAUGUUAUCACGGGAGACACACGGCGGGUGCUAACGUCCGUCGUGAAGAGGGAAACAACCCAGACCGCCAGCUAAGGUCCCAAAGUCAUGGUUAAGUGGGAAACGAUGUGGGAAGGCACAGACAGCCAGGAUGUUGGCUUAGAAGCAGCCAUCAUUUAAAGAAAGCGUAAUAGCUCACUGGUCGAGUCGGCCUGCGCGGAAGAUGUAACGGGGCUAAACCAUGCACCGAAGCUGCGGCAGCGACACUAUGUGUUGUUGGGUAGGGGAGCGUUCUGUAAGCCUGCGAAGGUGGCCUGUGAGGGCUGCUGGAGGUAUCAGAAGUGCGAAUGCUGACAUAAGUAACGAUAAAGCGGGUGAAAAGCCCGCUCGCCGGAAGACCAAGGGUUCCUGUCCAACGUUAAUCGGGGCAGGGUGAGUCGACCCCUAAGGCGAGGCCGAAAGGCGUAGUCGAUGGGAAACAGGUUAAUAUUCCUGUACUUGGUGUUACUGCGAAGGGGGGACGGAGAAGGCUAUGUUAGCCGGGCGACGGUUGUCCCGGUUUAAGCAUGUAGGCGGAGGUUCCAGGUAAAUCCGGUACCUUUUAACGCUGAGGUGUGAUGACGAGGCACUACGGUGCUGAAGUAACAAAUGCCCUGCUUCCAGGAAAAGCCUCUAAGCAUCAGGUAACAUUAAAUCGUACCCCAAACCGACACAGGUGGUCAGGUAGAGAAUACCAAGGCGCUUGAGAGAACUCGGGUGAAGGAACUAGGCAAAAUGGUGCCGUAACUUCGGGAGAAGGCACGCUGGUGUGUAGGUGAAGUCCCUGCGGAUGGAGCUGAGACCAGUCGAAGAUACCAGCUGGCUGCAACUGUUUAUUAAAAACACAGCACUGUGCAAACACGAAAGUGGACGUAUACGGUGUGACGCCUGCCCGGUGCCGGAAGGUUAAUUGAUGGGGUUAUCCGUAAGGAGAAGCUCUUGAUCGAAGCCCCGGUAAACGGCGGCCGUAACUAUAACGGUCCUAAGGUAGCGAAAUUCCUUGUCGGGUAAGUUCCGACCUGCACGAAUGGCGUAAUGAUGGCCAGGCUGUCUCCACCCGAGACUCAGUGAAAUUGAACUCGCUGUGAAGAUGCAGUGUACCCGCGGCAAGACGGAAAGACCCCGUGAACCUUUACUAUAGCUUGACACUGAACAUUGAGCCUUGAUGUGUAGGAUAGGUGGGAGGCUUUGAAGCGUGGACGCCAGUCUGCGUGGAGCCAACCUUGAAAUACCACCCUUUAAUGUUUGAUGUUCUAACGUUGGCCCGUAAUCCGGGUUGCGGACAGUGUCUGGUGGGUAGUUUGACUGGGGCGGUCUCCUCCCAAAGAGUAACGGAGGAGCACGAAGGUUAGCUAAUCCUGGUCGGACAUCAGGAGGUUAGUGCAAUGGCAUAAGCUAGCUUGACUGCGAGCGUGACGGCGCGAGCAGGUGCGAAAGCAGGUCAUAGUGAUCCGGUGGUUCUGAAUGGAAGGGCCAUCGCUCAACGGAUAAAAGGUACUCCGGGGAUAACAGGCUGAUACCGCCCAAGAGUUCAUAUCGACGGCGGUGUUUGGCACCUCGAUGUCGGCUCAUCACAUCCUGGGGCUGAAGUAGGUCCCAAGGGUAUGGCUGUUCGCCAUUUAAAGUGGUACGCGAGCUGGGUUUAGAACGUCGUGAGACAGUUCGGUCCCUAUCUGCCGUGGGCGCUGGAGAAUUGAGGGGGGCUGCUCCUAGUACGAGAGGACCGGAGUGGACGCAUCACUGGUGUUCGGGUUGUCAUGCCAAUGGCACUGCCCGGUAGCUAAAUGCGGAAGAGAUAAGUGCUGAAAGCAUCUAAGCACGAAACUUGCCCCGAGAUGAGUUCUCCCUGAGACUUUAAGUCUCCUGAAGGAACGUUGAAGACGACGACGUUGAUAGGCCGGGUGUGUAAGCGCAGCGAUGCGUUGAGCUAACCGGUACUAAUGAACCGUGAGGCUUAACCUU
rnacentral:rRNA from 2 species